CCCAGUGCCUGCUUAUCGUGCCCGCCUCUCCACACCUCUUUCCCUGUCCGUUGGAGUCCAUUCCUUCCCGGAAAAGCCAAAGCCGCGCUCCCCUAAGAGGCCUGGAUGUGAAGGAAUGAGGAGCACCCGGGAAGCUUCAGCCACUACACGGAGGCGGCGCCAAGCCCAAACUCCUCCCCAGCUACCGGCGGGGUCAGUGCAGAGCCGCGGAGGGCACACAUGAACCCUGGCACGCAGCCUCAGGGAGGGGCAGGCUGGAAAUGACCCUGCCUGCAGCUGGGCCAUCAGCCCGACCACCUGCCCCCUGAGCAAACGUUGAUGCAGGUCGGGCGCGGUGGCUCAUGCCUGUAAUCCCAGCACUUUAGGAGCCCGAGGCAGGUGGAUCACCUGAGGUUAGGCAUUCACGACCAGCCUGGCCAACAUGGUGAAACACCGUCGCUACUAAAAAUACAAAAACUAGCCAGGCAUGGUAAUGGCGUGCACCUGUAGUCCAGCUACUCCGGAGGCUGAGGCCCGAGAAUCGCUUGAACCCAGGAGGCGGAGCUUGCAGUGAGCGGAGAUCACCACUCCAGCCUGGGUGACAGAGUGAGACUCCAUCUCAAAAAAAUUAAUUAAAGAAAAAACGCUGAUGCUUUCUGAAAUACAUUUUAUUAUCGCUGUACCAUUCUGGGGCACUGGAGAUGGCAGCUGAGAAGCAGAGAAGCUGGAGACCUGAAGCCUCCACCCUUGGCUGUGGCUGCCGAGAGAGGCCCCUGCAGAGGGAGCCCCAGGCCACACCCAGACACCACAGCCAGUUCACAGUGCGGCCAGAGGGCACAGGCUGCUUGGGGGGUGAGGGUCCCCAUUCCUGCCACCUCUCACAGACCAUGACCCACAGGGCUGGGGGCUUCCCCUGGGAGAAAGUCCUUCCCUCCCUAUGGCCCAGCCCUGGGGAAAGAAAGCAGAGACUAACUCAGGGACUGCAGUAGGCUGAGGACAAGGGAGGUGGGCUUGGGGUGAAGGCCCCCCCUCACUCGCAGAGAAGGGACACUACCGGCAGUAGAGGACAGGGAGGCAGGACGACGGCAGUUAGAGACGAGGCGUUUCAGGUGAACUGUAUGUAGUGUUACUCCGGACGUGAGCAUGGCCUGGGUCAGUCGAAUGAAAUGAGCUGGGCCUCGCUGCCCUGGGCCGGCGGCCCCUGUGCCUGCGGCUGCUGGGCCACGGGGGGCUGCUGCUGGGGGGGACCGCCAGAGGGUGCCAUCUGUGCAGGAGGAAAGCAGGCAUGGCCCUAGUCCUCCCUUCCCCAGCCCAGGGAGGAAGGCUUUUGUCCCAGCAGAGCCACAGACCCACAAGUGCUUGUAAUCCAUGUCCACUGUCUGCAGCUCAUGCGGCCUUUGCCUUUCAAGUAAAUUCACGGUUUUUCCUGUCUACA